rnacentral:lncRNA from 14 species
AAGGCUCUUAGAGACUUUGCUGCGUUCAUAAAUCAGGGAAUGGGCUCAUUGGGUUAUAUUUCAUUCAGUUUUAAGGAAAUAUUCUGUAUUUUAGAUACCAGAAAUGUUAUUCAGUGAAGCAGACAUCGAAGAAAAAUAUGAAAAAAAAAGAAAAGAUGAAAAGAAAAAAAGUUCAGUUGAUCCUGACUUCAUAAAGUCAUUCUUAUUGAUCCAUGAGUCUUGCAAAGCUUACGGGGCCACCCCAAGCAGGUACAUGACCUUUCUGCGUGUGUAUUCUGCCAUCAGCAGCAGCAAGAGGAAGGAGCUACUGAAAAGACAGAGUCAUUUGCAGGCUGGCGUGUCCAAACUAAAUGAAGCCAAAGCUCUUGUGGAUGAGCUGAACAGAAAGGCCGGAGAGCAGAGUAUCCUGCUUCGAAUAAAGCAGGAUGAAGCAGACUCUGCCCUUCAGGAGAUCACAGUGUCCAUGCAGGUGAUGUUGGAGGGCCAGGGGCCAAUAGAUAAAUAA